UCCUAGCGCUCGUUCUUCAAUCACAAAUGAUCUCCUGAAACCUUCCUUCGCCUGCUUCAGAGAAACACGAUCGCGAGACUAACCUGCCAUGGCGAUUUAGAAAUUGAAAACCCUAGAUUGAGUUUCGUGGCUGUGUUCUUAUUAUAUGUUUUGGGCAGAGGCUUAUUGGAAAAAAGACCUCCGGUGGUAAAGAUGCGAGGAUCAAUUCCACUCUUUUGGUCGCAAGGGGACCUCGAAAUUUAGUGCCAGGCCUGAUAUUUUCUUACAGAGGUAUGAUCCCUACAUACGAGUCAACCAAAAUGCAUUUUGAAGACCUGGUGAAUCUUAGUUAUGAUCAGAUUCUACCUGCACUCUGGGAGCUGGAUUGUGAUCACUACAUGCAUGCAUCAGGGAUUGGAAGAUGAUAUUUUCCCUGGAAGCGGG